UCCCCAUCAAAAGUCCCUACAGUGAUUUUUCACCAUCAUGGAUUGUUGCCUUUUUCUUAAGGGUCAUCCGAUUCAUGCCAUUUGCUUUGUAUAACAGAUGCAUCCCCGGAACUCCCCAAAGAAAAUUGAGCUAUCGGUAGGAACUACAGCGGACACGCCCCCUAAGAUGUUUUCUGCAGUGAAGACAACAGACACUCCACCUGGAUCUGACAGUACGUCACUGCACUGUGAGCUGACACGUCGGUCUGUUCUCAUGCAGCUGUUCUUCUCCCAGAGGAAAUAGAAGCUGGAUGUUCAAAGCCAACGUUCUGCUGAAGCUGAGUAUAAUUAUCUUUGCUCUCCCAGAAUAGUUUCCAAGGAUUUCAUUGAAUUACAAAUAAUAAGAGACAUCUUAACUUCGCACCUAAUAGGCAAUCUGUUGAAAUCUUGUUUUUUUUUUUUUAAUUAUACCAUUAAGAGGACUCGUUUUGAUGACCCUGCCCUUGCUGAAAUGUUCCAUUUUUAAAAUCACCAAGGAAAAUCAGUCCAUUUUGUAAGGAGUUACAUAUCUUUUUAGGGAAACAUUGCUUACAUUGGUUUGUUCAGUAAACUGUAUGUACUUCCUGUAAUUUCACACAAUUUCCCAUAAAUAUGUCCCGUUAGGCUUAAUCAAAACCUUUCAGAAAUGCUAAGGAGAUGGAAAUGUUAAUUUGAUUAUUGCACACUGUAUAUGCACAUCAACUUAUCUGCCAUGACCCCGGGGCCCACAUCUGGGAAGCGACCCAGAGCAAAGAAACUGGUGUACGAAAGUUGUCUGCAGCCUCCAUAUUUCCAGAUAUUUUGUGAUGACUAGAUACAGUAAAUGUGGUAUAUAUACAUGAUGGAAUACUACUACCCAAUCACAAAAAGACUGAAAUCCUAGCUUUUGUAAAUAAAUUAGCCCAUUGGAGACCAGUGUAUUCACUGAAAUAAGCCAG